AUUGAACGCUGGCGGCAUGCUUUACACAUGCAAGUCGAACGGUAACAGGCCGCAAGGUGCUGACGAGUGGCGAACGGGUGAGUAAUGCAUCGGAACGUGCCCAGUCGUGGGGGAUAACUACUCGAAAGAGUAGCUAAUACCGCAUACGAUCUAUGGCUGAAAGCGGGGGACCGUAAGGCCUCGCGCGAUUGGAGCGGCCGAUGUCAGCUUAGGUAGUUGGUGGGGUAAAGGCUCACCAAGCCAACGAUCUGUAGCUGGUCUGAGAGGACGACCAGCCACACUGGGACUGAGACACGGCCCAGACUCCUACGGGAGGCAGCAGUGGGGAAUUUUGGACAAUGGGCGCAAGCCUGAUCCAGCAAUGCCGCGUGCAGGAAGAAGGCCUUCGGGUUGUAAACUGCUUUUGUACGGAACGAAACGGCUCUGGUUAAUACCCGGGGCUAAUGACGGUACCGUAAGAAUAAGCACCGGCUAACUACGUG
rnacentral:rRNA from 1 species